AUUGAACGCUGGCGGCAUGCCUUACACAUGCAAGUCGAACGGUAACAGGUCUUCGAAUGCUGACGAGUGGCGAACGGGUGAGUAAUGCAUCGGAACGUGCCCAGUAGUGGGGGAUAGCCCGGCGAAAGCCGGAUUAAUACCGCAUACGACCUGAGGGUGAAAGGGGGGGAUCGCAAGACCUCUCGCUAUUGGAGCGGCCGAUGUCAGAUUAGCUAGUUGGUGGGGGAAAGGCCUACCAAGGCAACGAUCUGUAGUUGGUCUGAGAGGACGACCAGCCACACUGGGACUGAGACACGGCCCAGACUCCUACGGGAGGCAGCAGUGGGGAAUUUUGGACAAUGGGCGCAAGCCUGAUCCAGCAAUGCCGCGUGCAGGAAGAAGGCCUUCGGGUUGUAAACUGCUUUUGUCAGGGAAGAAAUCUUCUGGGUUAAUACCUCGGGAGGAUGACGGUACCUGAAGAAUAAGCACCGGCUAACUACGUGCCAGCCGCCGCGGUAACAC
rnacentral:rRNA from 1 species